UGCUCCAAAUAAAAAAUUGGAAAAAAUUUCCCAAUUUUUACAUCUGUUAAAUGCUAUUUUGUAGUAAAUAUUUCAUCUUAUUUUUUAAAAUUGACAAAAAAAAAUACCAAUGCUAAAUCUGGAAACCAAAUAAAACUGCAAACAAACUCCCCAAAACCAAACAAAACUGCAAACAAACUCCCCAAAAAGUUUGUUGUGAGAAAUCAAGGAAAGCAUAUAUAAACACUCGAACAUUGUUUUUACCUAUCGAUCUCCGGUAACACUCAAGAGCACUACAAGGCUAGAACGACAGGACAACAGCGCCCAACAACAGGGGACAAAAAUCAGGGGAAAGAGAAAAACUAUAAGUGAGACAGAGGUGGAGGGAAUAAACAGUAACACAAUACCCUACCACUGCGCAAUCAGCCCUCCCAAUUACUCCAACAUUGUGCAGCCACGAACUCCAACAAACACAUCCGCAUGCAUCAACAAAGAGUAAACAGUAAGCACAGUAGUAACCAAACAUAUAUGUAGAAUAACUUAGAACAGUCUAUGCCUUUGAUGCAAGGAAAGAAUCACCAAUAUUGAGAUUGAAUGCACGAAAUAAUCAAGAAAAGCACAUAACGACUGAAUCCAAGUGUUUCCAGAAAACCAUAUCUAAUGGUAACCACCUAAGCCUACUUUUUUUUUUCCGCAGAAUAGGGAAAAGAAGUCGCCAAAGCAAAAACGCAACUAUCACUCAUAUUUCGGUAUAGAAAAAUACCACCAUCAUUACAAUUACCAAAGCUACACAAANAACCACAGAAACAAUAAAAGUUAAAUGAUCAUGUAUCCAUUAUAGCCACACCAACAGAAAUCAUGGCCUAUAGGAAAUUAUGGUAUUUGUUCAGCAUAUUCUUUAAGUCGGGGAAUUUGAUACAAAAUAUCUACACAACAACAGAAAGACCAUAAGCAGUGGCAAAUAAAUACACGUAAUUCUACACUUAAUUUACACUGAGAAUUAGCUGUAAUUUUAAAAAAGUUAAAAUUUAAAAACUCUACGGGAUUUUGCGAACCAAAACAUCACCUGCAUCAUGUUAAGCACUUUUUUAGGCCACAGAUUGAACAACCAACUGUUACGGUAUCAACUAAACAGGAGAUUUUAACACCAAUACUCUUGAUAAUCGCACAAAUUAUUAGCACCAGAAAGUAGCAGACAGUAAAGAGCACGCAACCACAUGAAACAGAGAUGGCAAACAUAAGCAGCAAUUAUAAGACCAAUAUUCAACAUGGAAUCUUAGUUAUAGUUUCUUUGGUAAGAAGAGCAAAAAACAGAAGUUAUAGCCAUAUUAAAUAAACUUUUUUUUACUAUACCUCCUUAUAGUUUA
rnacentral:lncRNA from 1 species